rnacentral:rRNA from 1 species
GGGUUGUGAGGUUAAGCGACUAAGCGUACACGGUGGAUGCCCUGGCAGUCAGAGGCGAUGAAGGACGUGCUAAUCUGCGAUAAGCGUCGGUAAGGUGAUAUGAACCGUUAUAACCGGCGAUUUCCGAAUGGGGAAACCCAGUGUGUUUCGACACACUAUCAUUAACUGAAUCCAUAGGUUAAUGAGGCGAACCGGGGGAACUGAAACAUCUAAGUACCCCGAGGAAAAGAAAUCAACCGAGAUUCCCCCAGUAGCGGCGAGCGAACGGGGAGCAGCCCAGAGCCUGAAUCAGUGUGUGUGUUAGUGGAAGCGUCUGGAAAGGCGCGCGAUACAGGGUGACAGCCCCGUACACAAAAAUGCACAUGCUGUGAGCUCGAUGAGUAGGGCGGGACACGUGGUAUCCUGUCUGAAUAUGGGGGGACCAUCCUCCAAGGCUAAAUACUCCUGACUGACCGAUAGUGAACCAGUACCGUGAGGGAAAGGCGAAAAGAACCCCGGCGAGGGGAGUGAAAAAGAACCUGAAACCGUGUACGUACAAGCAGUGGGAGCACGCUUAGGCGUGUGACUGCGUACCUUUUGUAUAAUGGGUCAGCGACUUAUAUUCUGUAGCAAGGUUAACCGAAUAGGGGAGCCGAAGGGAAACCGAGUCUUAACUGGGCGUUAAGUUGCAGGGUAUAGACCCGAAACCCGGUGAUCUAGCCAUGGGCAGGUUGAAGGUUGGGUAACACUAACUGGAGGACCGAACCGACUAAUGUUGAAAAAUUAGCGGAUGACUUGUGGCUGGGGGUGAAAGGCCAAUCAAACCGGGAGAUAGCUGGUUCUCCCCGAAAGCUAUUUAGGUAGCGCCUCGUGAACUCAUCUCCGGGGGUAGAGCACUGUUUCGGCAAGGGGGUCAUCCCGACUUACCAACCCGAUGCAAACUGCGAAUACCGGAGAAUGUUAUCACGGGAGACACACGGCGGGUGCUAACGUCCGUCGUGAAGAGGGAAACAACCCAGACCGCCAGCUAAGGUCCCAAAGUCAUGGUUAAGUGGGAAACGAUGUGGGAAGGCCCAGACAGCCAGGAUGUUGGCUUAGAAGCAGCCAUCAUUUAAAGAAAGCGUAAUAGCUCACUGGUCGAGUCGGCCUGCGCGGAAGAUGUAACGGGGCUAAACCAUGCACCGAAGCUGCGGCAGCGACGCUGAUGCGUUGUUGGGUAGGGGAGCGUUCUGUAAGCCUGUGAAGGUGU